rnacentral:vault_RNA from 1 species
GCGCUGGUAUAGCUCAGUGGUUACUUCAUCGAAUUACAAAACUUGAUACCCAGACCCGUAAGGGUUCGAGACCACGGGCGCUGUCCAGUGCUUUU